UCUGGGAAGAGACGGGCACGAGAAGGAAUGAUCCUUUUGGUCCUCAGUAACCCUUCAAGUGCAUCAGUUAACUACGUAUGUUCUCCAGGUAUGAAAUCUCUCCUGCUACUCCAGACUUUCUAAGACAGAAAACGACACACCCCAGUCGGGCCCUGUGACUCCACCCUAGACCGGCCUUGGCUGCUAUUACGUGGGCCCGUUCCAGCUGUUCCGUUCACCCCCAGCCCUCGGCCUGCAGGUGCGGAACACGACCCGUUUCUGCACGAAGCAGCCCGUGGCUGCGGGGAGCAGGGUCCCGAGAGCCACAUCCCCGCAGCAGUAGGAGGUUCGUUACCUCCCUGCCGACACAGCUUUGCCUUCUACGUGCAGAGGCCCCCAGACUUUAUCGAGCUUCCUGGGGAAGCUGUCACUGCCCUUAUGACAUCUCUCUAGUCUUUGAAAAGCAGACAAGCUUUGGGCAGCUGCAUGCUGGUGAGUGGGGAGCACGAGCUCUCUGUGGUGAAAGAGAAAAGUAAAAUUGGCCCAGGAGCAAAAGGACAUCAAUACCAGGAGGGGUCCACCAGCCGGGGCCCUGGGGGAGGGCAGCCCCUGGGUCUGGAGCCCAUAUUCCAGCUACCUCUGUGGUCCAGAAAACAACGAGCCAAUCGACGUGGUCACCCCAGGCAUGACCGUCCCUGGCAGAAACAAAUCAUUUCUGGAUGUGGAGGCCCCCUUCGCCCUGGGUCUCACAGUGAUAUAAAAACAUAAACUCAGCCCAGUCCAGGGUCUACAGCACACGGUGGGAACCGGUCCGUCACUCGGAGCGAAGGUCAGCGGAAAGGAGCUCCGUGUAACACCCUUUACUGAGAAUUCAAAUGACUUUACGCAUUUUAAUGACCUUAAAGAUGGAAUCAAAAACCAGCCGAAUGACUUUCAGAUAGGAACAUUUUAAUCACUGAAAUGUAAAACUGUGGGCCGGUAUUAAACCGAUGGUUAGGGACUAGGGCCAAACAAAUUAGGAAGAAUGAAUAAGACCGUAGGGCGCAGAAACAGACGGAAAAUGCAAACCCGCAGCACUGUCCCAGUUCUGAGACAAGAGGUGGUGGGGGACACGGACAAAGAGGCUGAUUUUCUCCCAGACUUGCUGGAAGAUGUGACGUCCCAGAUUUAGGAAGCAAAAAUCUAUUCCAAGGAAGACAGAUGAAAGAAAUCCUCCCCUACAUCACCUGCAGUGAAGCUGGGGAACGUCAGAGAGAGGGCACGAGAGGGAAGAGAAGGAAAUAAUUAGAUUGACGGCUUCUCGACAACAAUAUAAGAAGACAAUGGAAUAAGUUCAAAGAGGUGAGAUAAAUGCCAUUUCUAAAAUUAUGUAACAUUAAAUGGCAUUUAAGAUCGAGCAUCAGCUACGAGCGCAGACAGCUCGUCACCACAAACCUACUCUCGCCACAGGCACAGAGUCCAGGAGGUCGGGCCCAGGAUGCAGGAGCCCAGACAUCACGUCCCUCUCUGUCCUGGGCACUGGGUCCACUAGGGGACUUCCGAGGCCUGAGUAAGAGUGUCUCGCGGCACAGGGCGCAGCCCCCGGCUCCAGAAGAUUCGACUUUGCCGAACUGCCAGUUCAGCAGGGACCCACGGGAGCCUGAGAUCUAACUGUGGGCACACACACGUACGGAACAGCGUGUCUCCCAGGUGAUCUGUCAAGAUACCCCAGCACCCAGCAACAAAGAAAACAGGAGUCAUGUUGGGUGGAAGACCGAACCCGGGUCAGGGUCGUACCAGGUUACACGUGCCCUGAUGGCACUAGGACUGCUGGGCGCGUGGCGGGUGCCGGGUCCCCUCUGCUGCCUGGCGAGCUGGCGUGGCCUCGUGCCUCCUCAAGUGCCUGAUGCUCCCAGCUCCGUGGGUUCUCCAGCCUCACCCUGAUCCAAGGAGUCAUGGGUGUCCCUUUACCCUUUACUCUGAUAAUUUGCUGGAUAAAACUUUCCAUUCCUUUGUCUUAAUUAAAAAAUGAUGCUUUGGAAAGUGAGAAAAAUUCA